GUGCUGAGAAGGCAUCAUAUAUCCAGGCAGGACAAUACAGUCGAUUUGCUGCUGCCUCAUUGUAGCCUGGAGGCAGCUGGUCAGUGGUAAGCUUUGGGGACCCGAGGAUCAGACGAGGCCUCUCUCUGUCCAUCGGAGCCUGGUCAGCCAGUCUUUCUGUGUCUGUCUCACCGUGCAACCAUGGACGCCAGCACCACCAAGCUCAUCCAGCCCACUACGGACCUCACCAUCACCCAGUUGAACCAGGAGUGUCUCCUCCACCUCCUCUCCUACCUGGAUAAAGACAGUUGUAGGUCUUUCUCCCUGACCUGCCAUCGGCUCAGAGAGGUCUACUUGGACCCCAGGCUGUGGUCACUGCUCUUGUUCCACUCCCCCUCUGAGCUGAGGAGAGAGAACUAUGUGUUAGGAUCGUCGCUGCGCUAUCUGGCUGUCACCUGGCACAGCUCCAGGGUCAAGGUCUGUAACAUAGAGGACUGGAUGAAGAAUCAGUUCCAGAAGGAUCUCUGUAGUAAACAUGAGAGUCUGGUCAGCAGCUUCCUAGAACGUGUCUGUACCAUGUGUCCUAACCUGCUGUCCCUGACCCUGUCUGGCUGCGGGCAUAUCUCAGACCAGGAAGUGAUCUGUGUUCUGCAGAGCUGCAGCCGCCUCCGCUCCCUCCAUCUGGAGAACUGUGUCCGGGUCACAGACCUGACCCUGCAGGCCCUGGUGCUCCACGGGGCCGGCCUCCACCAGGUCACAGUGGACUUUUGCCGUAACAUUACUCGGGCAGGGCUGCAGAUGAUCCGGGAAAGACGGCCGGACAUUAGGCUGACCGCUGAGAGGAGCGCAGGGAUGAUACCUGAUAGUAAACCUGACAAGAGGAAGCAGCUACCACUCGGACGGAGACUUAUGCAGAAGUUCUCCUAAUGUUCUCCUGAUGACAUCACUACAGUUCUCCUGAUGAGGCUACAGCUGUGUCUCUAUGGGCCCUGGUUAAAAGGAGUGCACUACAUGGGGAAUAGGGAGCUAUUUUGGAAUAGAGUGCCAUUUGGGAGACAAACCUACUGCUGAAGAAGGUCCUGCAGUUGUCAUGAUGAGAGGCCAUGGUUGUGUCCCAAAUGGUACCUUAUUCCUUAUAUAGUGCACUGCUUUAGACCAGAACCCAAUAUGGACUGCUGAAGGUUCUUCAGUUCUCCUGAGGACCAGAACCCAAUAUGGACUGCUGGAGGUUCUUCAGUUCUCCUGAUGACCAGAACCCAAUAUGGACUGCUGAAGGUUCUUCAGUUAUCCUAAUGACCAGAACCCAAUAUGGACUGCUGAAGGUUCUUCAGUUCUCCUGAUGACCAUAGACUUAACCACAGACAUCUUCUUCUCAAAUAGCACCCUAUUCCCUAUAUAGUGCACUACAUUUGACAAGGGCCCAUUGAGCUCUGGUAAAUAGUAAUGUAGGGAAUAUUUGGGACACAGUCCAUAAUUUCACCACUAGGAGGCAGUGUUGAAAUGCCUUAAGGUGAAUGGGAGGGUCACUGUUGACCUGUUUUGGACUUCAGUCUUAUUGAUAGGAGCAAAAAUAGUUUUGGUUCUGAAUUAAAAGGGCCAAUUAUUAUAAUUGUUUUGACUUUAUACCGAUUUUUAUUUGAGGUGUUUUAUACUUUUUGUGUGGUUGGGUUUUAUACUGAGAUUUAAUGAUUUGUUUUAAUGUUUGUUUUAUUAAACACUAACUGUGGAUGACACAGUUGAGGUCCCUAA